AUACAACGCGUGAGCGAUCGAAGUGGAAAUCCUGCAACGCAACAUGUAUUGAAUGCGGAAACUGGAAUAUACGAAAAGUUUGAAAUGUUGCGUUGCAGAUUGAAGCGAAGAGCGCGACCCGUA
rfam:Leptospira weilii serovar Topaz str. LT2116 ctg7180000006686, whole genome shotgun sequence.